UACAGAGGGUGCAAGCGUUGUUCGGAUUCAUUGGGCGUAAAGGGUGCGUAGGUGGUUUGUUAAGUCUGCUGUGAAAUCCCCGGGCUCAACCUGGGAAUGGCAGUGGAUACUGGCAAGCUAGAGUGCGGUAGAGGGUAGUGGAAUUCCCGGUGUAGCAGUGAAAUGCGUAGAGAUCGGGAGGAACACCAGUGGCGAAGGCGGCUGCCUGGACCAGCACUGACACUGAAGCACGAAAGCGUGGGGAGCAAACAGG
rnacentral:rRNA from 1 species